UUUAACAUAGCUCAGCAGUGCUGCAUCUGCCUGGCAAGCACAAUGUCCUGAGUUCAAUUCUCAGUACCAAAA
rnacentral:tRNA from 1 species